GACGAACGCUGGCGGCGUGCCUAAUACAUGCAAGUCGAACGCACAGUUUAUACCGUAGCUUGCUACACCAUAGACUGUGAGUUGCGAACGGGUGAGUAACGCGUAGGUAACCUGCCUGGUAGCGGGGGAUAACUAUUGGAAACGAUAGCUAAUACCGCAUAAUAUUAAUUAUUGCAUGAUAAUUAAUUGAAAGGUGCAAUUGCACCACUACCAGAUGGACCUGCGUUGUAUUAGCUAGUAGGUGAGGUAACGGCUCACCUAGGCGACGAUACAUAGCCGACCUGAGAGGGUGAUCGGCCACACUGGGACUGAGACACGGCCCAGACUCCUACGGGAGGCAGCAGUAGGGAAUCUUCGGCAAUGGACGAAAGUCUGACCGAGCAACGCCGCGUGAGUGAAGAAGGUUUUCGGAUCGUAAAGCUCGGUUGUAAGAGAAGAACGGGUGUGAGAGUGGAAAGUUCACACUGUGACGGUAUCUUACCAGAAAGGGACGGCUAACUACGUG
rnacentral:rRNA from 1 species